UGGGGAAUAUUGGACAAUGGGCGAAAGCCUGAUCCAGCCAUGCCGCGUGUGUGAAGAAGGUCUUCGGAUUGUAAAGCACUUUAAGUUGGGAGGAAGGGUUGUAGAUUAAUACUCUGCAAUUUUGACGUUACCGACAGAAUAAGCACCGGCUAACUCUGUGCCAGCAGCCGCGGUAAUACAGAGGGUGCAAGCGUUAAUCGGAAUUACUGGGCGUAAAGCGCGCGUAGGUGGUUUGUUAAGUUGGAUGUGAAAUCCCCGGGCUCAACCUGGGAACUGCAUCCAAAACUGGCAAGCUAGAGUAUGGUAGAGGGUGGUGGAAUUUCCUGUGUAGCGGUGAAAUGCGUAGAUAUAGGAAGGAACACCAGUGGCGAAGGCGACCACCUGGACUGAUACUGACACUGAGGUGCGAAAGCGUGGGGAGCAAACAGGAUUAGAUCUCGUAGUCCCUGAGCGGGCUGGCAAGGCGCAU
rnacentral:rRNA from 1 species